rnacentral:misc_RNA from 1 species
AUGCGAUAAGUAAUGUGAAUUGCAGAAUUCCGUGAAUCAUCGAAUCUUUGAACGCACAUUGCGCCCGCCAGCACUCUGGCGGGCAUGCCUGUUCGAGCGUCAUUUCAACCCUCGGACCCCCUAGGCCUCGCGCCGCGGGGGACCGGUGUUGGGGCUCGGCCUCCCCCAGCGGGAUCCCGUCCCCUAAAUCCAGUGGCGGUCGCGACCCGGCAGCCCCGCGUAGUAGCACACCUCGCGGGACGCGCCGGCCGUGGCCACGCCGUAAAACCCCCAAAUUCUCAAGGUUGACCUCGGAUCAGGUAGGAAUACCCGCUGAACUUAA